GAAGUGCAAAGAUAAAGUUAGAGUAUUGUGGGGGCAUGUCGGAGUAAAUAACGAGCGACCGACCAGUGAAAAUAGUUAGAGACACCUCCGAACAAAUAGCAACUUGAUAUCUCGUUGUUGCCAGGUGAGUGAACUUGCAUUAAAAUGUUUUGGAAUAAAUGAUUUUAUGCUUGAUUGAGCCACUUGAAAUAUUUUGUUGGUUUUUCUUUAAAAGUUGAAUGGGAACAAACCCUUGAUGAAAUGUUUUGAUAUUAUGAGAUAUGAAAAUGAUGAAUUCAUGAGUUUCUACAAUAUGUUGAUGUGUAUAUUAUACAUUAAAUGAUAUUUUUGUAUGAUAAUUAUGACCCAGCCAUGUGCGGUGUAGGAUUGCACAUGAGCUGUGCUGACCCAGCCAUGUGCUGUGUAGGAGUGCACAUGAGCUGUGCUAACCUGGCUAUGUGCGGUGUGGUAAUGCACAUAAGCUGAGACAGAGUUGGGGGCGAGGCCGGUGGUUAUAUAUAUGUUUAUAUAUGAUAUAUAUAGAGGUUUUUGGAAAUUAUAUUGUGGUUGCAUUGAUUUUUUAUUGUUAAAACUUGAGAAACAAUUUCCACUUGAUUUUCACCGUAGUAAAGACAGAUUUCCAUUGUGACAAGAAAUUGAGUUAAAUUGCAUUGUCUUCAACAUAAAUGCAUCAUUAUUUCUAAAACCUCUUGUACUGAUGCUUGUUCCCUUUCUAUAUUCACUCACUGAGUUUAUACUUACGUUUUCAAAAUUCAUGUUUUAGGUUUCCUGAGUUAAAGGUGAUUGGAUCCUAGGAUGAGGUGCUCCUCCCUGUGCAUUGCUCGGUAGGUUUAACGUGACACUAAGUAUUAUCCAUUGUGCCCAGAGUCACUCCACUGACGGUCAAUGUCUAAUUAUAUGUAUGUGAAUAUUUAAUGUGAACAUUA
rnacentral:lncRNA from 1 species